UAUGUUUUUGCAUACGUGUAC
rnacentral:piRNA from 1 species